rnacentral:rRNA from 1 species
UACAGAGGUCCCAAGCGUUGUUCGGAUUCAUUGGGCGUAAAGGGUGCGUAGGCGGCGCGGUAAGUCGGGUGUGAAAUCUCGGAGCUUAACUCCGAAACUGCAUUCGAUACUGCCGUGCUUGAGGACUGGAGGAGGAGACUGGAAUUUACGGUGUAGCGGUGAAAUGCGUAGAUAUCGUAAGGAAGACCAGUGGCGAAGGCGGGUCUCUGGACAGUUCCUGACGCUGAGGCACGAAGGCCAGGGGAGCAAACGGG